AGAGUUUGAUCCUGGCUCAGAAUGAACGCUGGCGGCAGGCCUUACACAUGCAAGUCGAACGGUAGAGGAGCAAUCCUCGAGAGUGGCGAACGGGUGAGUAAUGUAUCGGAACGUGCCCAGUAGUGGGGGAUAGCCCGGCGAAAGCCGGAUUAAUACCGCAUGAGACCUGAGGGUGAAAGCGGGGGACUCGCAAGAGCCUCGCGCUACUGGAGCGGCCGAUAUCAGAUUAGGUAGUUGGUGGGGUAAAAGCCUACCAAGCCUGCGAUCUGUAGCUGGUCUGAGAGGACGACCAGCCACACUGGGACUGAGACACGGCCCAGACUCCUACGGGAGGCAGCAGUGGGGAAUUUUGGACAAUGGGCGAAAGCCUGAUCCAGCCAUGCCGCGUGCGGGAAGAAGGCCUUCGGGUUGUAAACCGCUUUUGUCAGGGAAGAAAUCCUUUGAGUUAAUACCUCGGAGGGAUGACGGUACCUGAAGAAUAAGCACCGGCUAACUACGUGCCAGCAGCCGCGGUAAUA
rnacentral:rRNA from 1 species